AAUGCAAGCAAAACGCAGGCUGAAACCUGCAUUUAAAAUAGUAGAAAGGCUUAAAGUCUGAUGUCUUCCUGACCACUGGAUAAUAUCAUGAGGGACAAAUGCCCAGGUCCCCACUGAGAUUCAUGAUUAGUGGAAUAUAAUUCUAAGAGAAGAGGUCAGGGAGAUUAAUUUGUGUGGAAUCAUCUCGCUGGGGAGCUCAGUGGCAGAAGUUCCAAGUUGAGAGGUAUUAAGAAAAAAAAAAGAAUGAAAAUGAUUAUCAACUUCACUCCUAUCAGCAUCGAAUUGACGCGUGGUCAGCUGUGACCAGAAGCAGAUGAUCCUCCUUCUGACAAUAGUUAGAAGGUCAAUAGUAGCCUGAUGCUAUGCCACAAGCCUAUCUCAUUCAUUGAUCUCACCUCAACUCAUCACGUAGGCAUUUUACCAUCUUACAUCAUCACAAGAAGAAGGCCCAUUUGGACAGCAUAAGAUGAAGGCAGAACCAAAUAUACCUACUGAAGAAGAGCUCCAAGUUUAUACUGUCAAUACAAGAUCAUGUAGGCUCGAUGUAUGAAAAGCCUGUGAAAAGACAAUUGUCUUGGUUUGGGUGCCUCCGGAAGCAGACCCUGAGGCAAGGUUUUGAAUGUCUCUGCCUGGAGAUUGUGGAACCUGGCUGACUCUGCUUUGUGUGUGAUGUGCUGAGUCAAGAUUAUAUUGCCGGUCAGAUCAGCCCCAGCGACAGCAGACUGAGUGGCCCACUCUGGGUUUAUCAGUUACUUCCAAAUAAGAAUUGAAAAAAAAGAACGAUCAUGGGUUUUGACACCUUAAAGAUACAAGGUGCAAUCCUGAGCCGUCUUAGUCCAGGAAAUGUGUUUAAAUGGAACCAGUUAAGGCAAAUAUUGAUGGAAGUUGCGUGUGUGUGGUGGUCCAUUUAGCACAGUGGUUCUCAACAGGGGUGAUUUUGCCUCCAGGGACAUAAGAUAAGAAAAAUGGCUUCAGAUGUGAAGUAACUCACCCUGGGAUUCAAAGCUAGUAAGUGGCAGAUCCAGAAUUUGAACUCCAGUGACUCUUUCUGCAAGGCCCAGGGUUUUAAUCACUGAUGUGAACACUCCCCACAGGCUCACUGUCUAGUUGAUGCUGAGUCUCUCAGAGAUCACAGGGACCCAUGAGGAGGGAAAAGCAGAGCUGGGCAGGAUACGAGAUGUCCUCUGCCCCAUGUCACCUUCUUGAUCCUCCUGCAUCUCUUUUGUUACUUGGUUUUACCAGGCCUGGCUGUGGAGGCUCCACUGUGUGAAGUGCUCUGGGGACCCUAGUCUGACUGUUCUCAGAGGCGUCAUCCCCACUGACAAUACAAGGCAGAAAUUGCACAGCAGCAUCCUUUGAGAAGGCGUUGGAGACCAUGGUUUUAAGCACAAAAGAACACAUCUACCAAAGGGUGAAGAGAAUUUUGGGCGGAGUGCCCUCCUUUUCUCCACUGCUCUGUUGGUUCCACUGGGAGCGUAGCAGCUAGGACUCUGCAAGCAACUGAAAUAAACUAUGAAGAACUGAGGAACUUAAGCAAACAUGGGAUAUUUUCAAAGAAUAUGGCUGGAAGAGCAGGCUGAAGAACCAGGCUUGGGAGAGGCAGAGACCAGACAUUUACCAAAGAUCUUCACAGAAGAAAUCACUUGACAGUUUCACCUCAACUUUAUUGCUGGAAUAAACAAACUCCAAUGUUUUGUUUUGUCCUUACAUUACUUGAGAUGCAAAAUCUCAGGAGAGAAAGUCCAAUGGGCCAGAUUUAGGUAACAUGCCCACCCUUGACCUCUACAGGGGCAAUGAGAGGGUGAGGGAGGGGAUCUCUUGGGAGAAGCUUUUUGGCUUUUCAUAGGAUGAGAUCAAGGUGGUUGGACUUAUUCUCUACCAACACUAUAUGCACACAAUGUGGAUUAAACCGUUACCCCAAAGAAAAUAAGGAUGUAGACAAAAGUGACAAACGCACAUUACUACGUCUCAGCAGAGAGCCCUGUACAACAACAGCACAGAGAAAGAGUUAGGAUUGUUGCGGGAGCUGCUGCUGUUUUGUUAGUCUCCCGUCCAGGGCCCAGUGACACAGACCCCACUCCUGAGCAAAGACAACACCCUUCCAAAAUAGGGAUGAGACAGCAAAGUGGUGACCCUUUUUCAACACUCAUCAGACACAGGGGUUUUAUUUCUCCUGCACAAUGCUGGAGAAAUAAUGGUAUUUGUUUGUUUGUUAUUAAAAUUGAUUAAGAAACGAAUAUUUAAAAAAGAGAACAG